rnacentral:sRNA from 1 species
CUAUAGUAGAGGAUGACAGGAGGUAAAAAUGUCUGUAAAAGAAGGAUCAGGAAUAGACAGAACACUUAGACGUUUAGGGAAGAACUCUUAGCUCAGUGCUUAGUGAGAGAAGCCCCUGAGCCUGGGCUGUUUCUCCCGACCUCUUACUUAGGGGGAAAUGCCAGGCUUAGGGACUAACUAGUACAAAGACCCUGAGGAAGGAAUGAUUUUGACCUGUUUUUUUUUUUUUUAAAAACAACAACAAUAACAGGUUGUAGGGCUGAAGCUUACCAAAGAAAGGAAGAAUGCACUUUUCAGGAUUAGAAGAGGCUGUGUAUAGAAACAUACAAGCUUGCAAGGAGCUUGCCCAAACCACUCGUACAGCAUAUGGACCAAAUGGAAUGAACAAAAUGGUUAUCAACCACUUGGAGAAGUUGUUUGUGACAAACGAUGCAGCAACUAUUUUAAGAGAACUAGAAGUACAGCAUCCUGCUGCAAAAAUGAUUGUAAUGGCUUCUCAUAUGCAAGAGCAAGAAGUUGGAGAUGGCACAAACUUUGUUCUGGUAUUUGCUGGAGCUCUCCUGGAAUUAGCUGAAGAACUUCUGAGGAUUGGCCUGUCAGUUUCAGAGGUCAUAGAAGGUUAUGAAAUAGCCUGCAGAAAAGCUCAUGAGAUUCUUCCUAAUUUGGUAUGUUGUUCUGCAAAAAACCUUCGAGAUAUUGAUGAAGUGUCAUCUCUACUUCGUACCUCCAUAAUGAGUAAACAAUAUGGUAAUGAAGUAUUUCUGGCCAAGCUUAUUGCUCAGGCAUGCGUAUCUAUUUUUCCUGAUUCCGGCCAUUUCAAUGUUGAUAACAUCAGAGUUUGUAAAAUUCUGGGCUCUGGUAUCAGUUCCUCUUCAGUAUUG